rnacentral:guide_RNA from 1 species
AAACAUCCAAUAAGCGAAUAUGUGAAAGGUUUGUAUGAUGUAAAUA